rnacentral:rRNA from 1 species
UACGGGGGGGGCAAGCGUUGUUCGGAAUUACUGGGCGUAAAGGGCUCGUAGGCGGCCAACUAAGUCAGACGUGAAAUCCCUCGGCUUAACCGGGGAACUGCCUCUGAUACUGGAUGGCUUGAGAUUGGGAGAGGGAUGCGGAAUUCCAGGUGUAGCGGUGAAAUGCGUAGAUAUCUGGAGGAACACCGGUGGCGAAGGCGGCAUUCUGGACCGACAUUGACGCUGAGGAGCGAAAGCCAGGGGAGCAAACGGG